AAUUUUUGACAAUGGGGGCAACCCUGAUCCAGCCAUCCCGCGUGUGCGAUGAAGGCCUUCGGGUUGUAAAGCACUCUUGGCAGGGAAGAAAAAGCGCGGGGUAAUACCCGGCGCCGCUGACGGUACGUGCAGAAUAAGCACCGGCUAACUACGUGCCAGCCGCCGAGGUAAUACGUAGGGUGCAAGCGUUAAGCGGAAUUGCUUGGCGUAAAGCGUGAGCAGGCGGUUCGGCAAGAAGGAUGAGUAAUCCCGGGGCUUAACCUCGGAACUGCAUUCUUAACUGCCGGGCUAGAGUAUGUCAGAGGGGGGUAGAAUUCCACGUGUAGCAGUGAAAUGCGUAGAGAUGUGGAGGAAUACCGAUGGCGAAGGCAGCCCCCUGGGAUGAUACUGACGCUCAUGCACGAAAGCGUGGGGAGCAAAC
rnacentral:rRNA from 1 species